CUCGGUGGGUUUGAGAGCUCUUUUUUGUCUGCGGUUCUCGCCUUUCUUUGCUGGAGGAAGGAAGGAAGGGGUCGGUAGAGGAGGAGAGGACGGACGCGCACGCGUAAAAGUGUGAUUUGGGGGUUAGGUUGGACGGCGCCGAGCAGCGUCUAGCCGUCUCGUCAGGUGGCGGAGGCGCCUCCACCACUAGUAAGAAAAUAGUCCUCCACAUGUAGACGAACCGGAGACCGUCAUCGACGUCAAUGGUUGUCAGCUCUCAAGAGUACCGGUCCAGAGUACUCUGCUGCUCAUCCUUUGGAGGACCGGAGGCCAAUAAGUUUCCACGGUUCCGAGAUUCUUUAAUGGUCUGCAAGCAGAACCAGGAAUGUAAGAACCGUAUGUGAACGAAGGUAUACUGAGCCUUCUAUUGUUCGUAACAGUUCUCACUCGAACUAGGGGUCUGGUUUCACCCCAGACGGACCCCUGCUAACGUGUGUGCGUUGUCAGAGUUGUAACCAACCAGAGGUAAAUUGUGGCGACUACCAAGGUGAAACGAACCACUCUAUCUACAGCGUAAGGAACGCCACAUAAGAGAACCCUACAAGAAGCGGCCCGUAGAACCACUGGCGUACCUGAACUCCUAACAAGAUUGUUAACCGUACUAAUCGUGACGGUAUAAGUGACGCGAGAAACCACGACCUAUAACCGAUUUAUAAGUGUUGAAGAUGAUGAAAGACCAGAAAGUCUACUAACGACCGAAUAAAGUUAGUAGACCUACCGGAAGUCAGCAACGUCAACAACCAUUGACCAAACCCUUCUCGUUCUCCCCUAACUAAUACCCAUAUACCUUGCGUGUAUGAAGAUAACCUUUGUAUAGGCCAAGCGACGAACGACGUAGAGACGACUUUAAACCUACCCCCACCAGUAAACGGUAGGGGUCGUAGUAGUACCGAGAACGACCCAACCACCACAAGAAAAAGAACGGCCAAUCAGGACUACAUUACCUCUAUCUAUAACUACUACCCCUCCAUUUGAGUCUGUUCCUAUGACGCUUCCUCGGGGAAAACCUUGGUCCGGUUCUUCACUUUGUAUUCCGUUAUCCUAAGGACCUCCGUACCUCCUAAGGACCUCAACGUGGCAAACGAGAGACGGAGAAGAAGAGGUUCGACCAACGUAUGUGGAAGGACAUGACCGAUGGAAAAAUGUAGUCGGUAUGUGGAUAACCGUUGCUCAUGGAGAGACUACGCUACCGACCGUCGAACAGUUGUCAGAAGCUACAACCUCCACACAACCCUCCUCAGGAACGGCCAGUAUAGAGACUAGCGAAUUUACGUGCUCGAUAGUGCCGGCGCUCGAAGUAACAGUCGACUGGAACCGUGAGUGUCGAGUAACUUACCAUUAAGAGCCCGUGACCGGUGACACUGUCGUUAGUAGCUACCCUGGCCCAGCCAACCACGGCGUUAGCCCGGUAACGAGUGUCCUAUGUAGAGUUGUCUCUCGACCUCACGGCACAAGUGCUACAACUACCGUCGUCGUGAAGAACGACCCGAGGAGAACUGUGUAGAACAGACACGACUCGAUUCUCCUUUCGACAGAAGGUUACACUCGUUCCAACAGCGGUUACGUGUUUGAUGGACGAGUCUAGUUCAUAUUCUAACAGGAAGCUAGAGUUUCUUUAAGUGAUCCGUACUCUUUUCUUCAACCUUAACUUUCUAAAGACUAGACACCUAGCAGAGAACAUACUAGAAGAUAUCAAGAGGGGUUUAAAGAACAACGCCAACAGGGAGGAAGGGAGAGACGUUCGUAGAGGGAGUUUAGAGAGAACUAGACCGAACCAUUACUGCUAUGUAAAUGUCGACAUGAAGGAUCCACGUAAAUAAAAAAUAAAGGAGAUAUAUGUAAAAAGAAGUAUAAUAAGAAGGUGCAACGUCGACACGAAGGGAUAUUGGUAAGCUUUCGUAACCAAAAGAAAGUACCAAACAAAAUUCCUUUCUCGGAAUCGAAAGGAACUAGACCGAAAAUUACUCGUAAGACUUAAAGUGAACGUCUAAGUGCUAGGUAUCAUGUAACAAAAUUAGUUAAACAAAUAUUUAAUCAAAGGAAAAACUUUCGUGACACAACAAUAGAAAAUUCUAAAUAGAGAACACAAAAGAAAAUAAACUUGUCUAAUGUUUGAAGUAUCCUAAAACCCUAUGAAAAUAAUGAGGGUACAACUCCUUUACUUAACUAAAACUAUUUUAACUACUACAGAAGGAUCGACAAGGGUUGGUCUGGUUAUCUGACGCUUUGUUGUUACUCCUCUUCUUCCGGAAAAACGUAGCCACUCUACAACUUGAUACCUAUCCCGGCACACAUACAACGAAGUCACACAUCAGUAGACAUACUAUCCGUCACACAUAAAACCAAGUCAACAAAGACAUAUUAGACAUCAACUGUCCACGAUGAUAUUAAGGAUCCAAAAUAAUGACAUUAAGGUUCCAAAAGAAUGACAUUAAAGUUUCAAAUGGUGCACG
rnacentral:rRNA from 1 species